rnacentral:rRNA from 1 species
GACGAACGCUGGCGGCGUGCCUAACACAUGCAAGUCGAGCGAGUGAAUCUCCUUCGGGAGUGAAGCUAGCGGCGGACGGGUGAGUAACACGUGGGCAACCUGCCUCAUAGAGGGGAAUAGCCUUUCGGAAGGAAGAUUAAUACCGCACAAGAUUGUAGCUUCGCAUGAAGUAGCAAUUAAAGGAGCAAUCCGCUAUGAGAUGGGCCCGCGGCGCAUUAGCUAGUUGGUGAGGUAACGGCUCACCAAGGCGACGAUGCGUAGCCGACGUGAGAGGGUGAUUGGCCACAUUGGGACUGAGACACGGCCCAGACUCCUACGGGAGGCAGCAGUGGGGAAUAUUGCACAAUGGGGGAAACCCUGAUGCAGCAACGCCGCGUGAGUGAUGACGGCCUUCGGGUUGUAAAGCUCUGUCUUCAGGGACGAUAAUGACGGUACCUGAGGAGGAAGCCACGGCUAACUACGUGCCAGCCGCCGCGGUAAGAC